rnacentral:rRNA from 1 species
GUUAACGCUGGCAGCGUGCUUAACACAUGCAAGUCGAACGGGACUAUUCUGAGAUUACAUCAAGGGAUAGUCUAGUGGCAGACGAGUGAGUAACACGUAAGGAACCUUCCCUGGAGCGGGGAACAACCUGCCGAAAGGCGGGCUAAUACCCCGUACGAUCUCGAGGUGGCAUCAUCUUGAGAUGAAAGGCGUAAGCCGCUCUAGGAUGGUCUUGCGGCCUAUCAGCUAGUUGGUGAGGUAACGGCUCACCAAGGCUACGACGGGUACCCGGCCUGAAAGGGCGAACGGGCACGGAGGCACUGAGACACGGGCCUCACUCCUACGGGAGGCAGCAGUGGGGAAUAUUGGGCAAUGGGGGAAACCCUGACCCAGCGACGCUGCGUGAGGGAUGAAGGUCUUCGGAUCGUAAACCUCUUUUCUAGGGGAAGAAAGCCCGUAAGGGUUUGACGGUACUCUAGGAAUAAGCCCCGGCUAAAUAUGU